rnacentral:rRNA from 1 species
UGGGGAAUCUUGGACAAUGGGGGUAACCCUGAUCCAGCGACGCCGCGUGGGUGAUGAAGGCCUUCGGGUUGUAAAGCCCUUUCGCCGGGGACGAUGAUGACGGUACCCGGAGAAGAAGCACCGGCUAACUCCGUGCCAGCAGCCGCGGUAAGACGGAGGGUGCUAGCGUUGUUCGGAAUCACUGGGCGUAAAGGGCGCGUAGGCGGCCCUUGCAGUCGGCGCGUGAAAGCCCGGGGCUCAACCCCGGAACGGCGGCCGAUACGCAGGGGCUGGAGGCCGGAAGAGGAGGGUGGAAUACCCAGUGUAGAGGUGAAAUUCGUAGAUAUUGGGUGGAACACCGGUGGCGAAAGCGGCUCUCUGGUCCGGACCUGACGCUGAGGCGCGAAAGCGUGGGGAGCAAACAGGAUUAGAUACCCGGGUAGUCC